UUCCCCAAUCUCCUCCGCUCCUCAAGCCAUCUCCGAUCAAAUCCGCUCCUCGGCUUACUCGGAGAUUUACUCGGCCGAUGAAACUAUCUAGUAGCAGGUCUUCUGAUUCUUCGUGUCUGUAGUUCUCGGCUUCUCUCACUCCUAUCAGAUCCAUAGAGAUUCUUCGCCGCCGCAUCUUACGAAAAUCUUUAUGGAUCUGUAUCGUCGACGAAAUCCUCUACCAUCAGGAAGCUAGCCUUUUCACGACAUAUGUUUUUGUUUCCAUAGGUCCUGGUUAGGAUUUUUGGGUCUUACCAAAAAGGGCUACUAUUGGACCAUGCAAUACACUGAAACGGAUGAUGCAGAGUACAUGGAAAAGGGUGAUAUAGAUUGAUCUGGAUUUUUUUAUCAGAUUGGUUGAUCGUGAACCACAUAGUGGAAGUAUCAGAAGUCUGAAGUAUAUUGAUCUCUUGGAGCAAUAAAAAUUACAAGCAAUUCUUCCUCAGGUUGGUUGACUGAUCAUAAUGAUUGUUAGUUGUUGACUUGUUGUAUAUAUCUAUGAGAAGAAGUUAAUUGGUUUGUUUGUGAAAUAUGAAGAUCAACUGAUUAUAUUGCUGACUUUUGUUAUUGCAAGACUACUAGGCGAUGUGACCUUAAUGAGGUGUUGAAUUUUAAUGGCUUGCAGUGAUGGGUCUUGAUUCAAGACUCUUGAAGCUUACAAAAAGUACAAUCAAUAAGUUUCAGAUCAGGUAUAAGAACAUGUUUGGAAGCUGGUUGUUGUCAUUUGUGUUCCUUUUUUUCAUCAACAUGUUAGAGUUUUAUUGAGAAACUUGGUCAAUUUUGAACUGAAACUUGCUUGUAGAAACAUCAGGGACAUAUGGUCGAACUAUAUGACUCCUUAACAUAAGGUAUAAGAUUAAAAAGAGAUAUCAUCCCUCUGUUCUUGUUUAAUUUACUUUCUCAGGUCUUUGAUGGAAGACAUGAUAGAAGCAUUUCCUAGCAAAACUGAGAUAUCAUCCCUUUGUUCUUGUUUCAUUUACUUUCUCAGGUCUUUGGAGAAAGACAUAAUAUGGUUUGGAUUAAGGGGUUUUCUUGAAAUUUGUGAGUUUUGGGUUUAAUAAACUGGAAUCAGAGUGUUUUUCUUGUUUUGCAUGUUUUUGAGAUAGUGGUAUUUUACUGCUUGGUUGUUUGUUCUGUUCUGAUUUGAUGUGUUUUGGUGUUUGAUCAUGAGAUAUUUGUUCCAUCCAGCACCACUACAUCCUCAUAUUUACAGCAAUGGACAUAUUUGUUUAGUUUUUGCAUCUACGAUUUUAGAUCAUGAAUGACUGCAGUGUUUAAAGCAAUCUUUGGGGUUUGACUUUGCAAAAAUUAGUAAUCAGAAAAAGUUCAGACAUCCUCUAGAGAAGAAUUACAAGAAAGCAAGGCUGAUUUAGCUAGCAUAUCAGCAUGUGUGUUAUCAGUUCUCGGAAUGAAAUGAAAAGACAACAAAGAAUCGAUAGCAUCAUAGAUAUCUUCCACAAUACCGUCAAUCUCAUUUGCAUGGCCUCUGGAGUUGAGCAGUUGAACGAGAACUUGACAAUCCGAGAAACAAGCCAAUCUUGAUACACCCAUUGCUAUAGCUGCUUGGAUUACAGUCUUUAAAGCUAGUGCUUCCGCCACAAAGGGUCUUAAGAGGUGCCUUGGAGACACACAUUAGAGAGGGGAUCACGGAUGAUCUACCCAAUUCCGCAGCUCUAGGAUAUAUACAAAGGGUCUUGAGGAGGUGUUUUGGAGACACACUAUAUUUUAAGAGAUUUUAUAUAUCUCUCCAUAUCAUCCAAAAACAAGAUUUUGUGUAUCUUUAUGAAAUUUACUGUGACACUUUUCAGCUUUUUGGUUUAUGUCCAAGGAUUUUUUAGCUUUUUAAAUAUGCUACUCCCAUUUC